CUGACCUCGGAUCAGGUA
rnacentral:rRNA from 1 species